rnacentral:rRNA from 1 species
GAUGAACGCUGGCGGCGUGCUUAACACAUGCAAGUCGAGCGAGGAGUUUUGAAAAGAUUCUUCGGAUGAAAUUUAAAAUGGAAAGCGGCGGACGGGUGAGUAACGCGUAGGCAACCUGCCCCAUACAAAGGGAUAGCAUUUGGAAACGAAUAUUAAUACCUUAUGAAACUUAACUAGUGCAUGCUAGGUAGGUCAAAGAUUUAUCGGUAUGGGAUGGGCCUGCGUCUGAUUAGCUAGUUGGUGAGGUAACGGCUCACCAAGGCGACGAUCAGUAGCCGACCUGAGAGGGUGAACGGCCACAUUGGAACUGAGACACGGUCCAAACUCCUACGGGAGGCAGCAGUGGGGAAUAUUGCACAAUGGGGGAAACCCUGAUGCAGCAACGCCGCGUGAACGAUGAAGGCCUUUGGGUCGUAAAGUUCUGUUCUAGGUGAUGAAAACUGACAGUAACCUAGGAGAAAGCCCCGGCUAACUCCGUG